CAUCGUACGGAGAAAUGCCUGGGGUCAGACCUACAGUCCCAUGAAAACAAGAACAGACUCGCUGAUUUGAAGCACAGUACAUCAACAAAUCACUUUCUGCAGACGUCUUGAUAACAGCAUUAUAAAGAUCCUGUGCCAGUCAGAAUGGGAUUCUGCGGAGCCUUGAAAUAAUCAACAGUGCCUCAAGUGUUGUGACUUGGUAUUGUGCCAUGGUUUAAGUAAAGCAUAGACCAUCAAAUGGGAUUAAUAAAUAAACAAAAAAACAAGAGUUCAUAUCCCAGACUGGAAGAACAGCAGUAGGAAAACGGAGGCAAGCAGAGGGAGGCAGAAAAGGCUGCAGAGCCUCACAGGAGGCAGAGACAACCGCAGAGAAACAAGGGAGGCAGAGGCAGCCACAGAGAAACACAGGAGGCAGAGGCAGCCACAGAGAAACACAGGAGGCAGAGACAACUGCAGAGAAACACGGGAGACAGAGACGGCCGCAGAGCAUCAUAGGAGGCAGAGACGGCUGCAGAGCAUCAUAGGAGGCAGAGACAACCGCAGAGAAACACGGGAGACAGAGACGGCUGCAGAGCAUCAUGGGAGGGGGAAACAAGAGGCAGAUGGAGCUGCACAGACAGCCGCAGAGCAUCUUGGGAGGCAGAGACAGCUGCAAAGCAUCAUGGGAGGUAGAGAUGGCUGCAGUGAAACAUGGGAGGCAGAGGCAGCCACAGAGCAUCAUGAGAGGCAGAGAUGGCUGCAAAGUACCUUGGGAGGCAGAGACAGCUGCAAAGCAUAAUGGGACACAGAGACAACUGCAAAGCAUCAUGGGAGGCAGAGACAUACUGCAAACAGUAUUUUCAGGAUUACAUACAUCAGCUUCUCUGUGAGCCAGAUGUUAGUUUCUCUGAAACAAACAAAAAGCAGUAUUUGGGGUUCGUAGAGUUAUUGGUCCUAACCUGUUUUGUUUAGUAUUGUGCUGCCCCUAGACAUCGACAUGCAGCGGGGCAGGAAGCAUGCAGCCCUUUAGACUUUUGACCUUUUUGCACCCGCCCCCGAUAACCGAAAACAGGCACUGUCCGAUGAAUCAUUGCCUAGUGCUUUCUAGCAUGUUCUAGAAGCAAUACUUUCAAGGACAAACUUAAUUUGUGCCAAGUGUUUUGUCUUUUACAAUCUGCAUCUGCAGCGCCAUCUACAGUGCUGCUGUAGAUCUGCAGAAGCAUAAAAAAGUGCUGCAUCAUAUGAACGCUUGUGCACAGGUGCUGUAAACCAUUCUGAAAUCACUGAGGUCACUAAAAUCAAAAGCAGCAGCGCAGCAAUGAAUCAUAGAUAUAAAAAAACAUAAUAGAAAGACAAAGGUAAACAAGUCACUUAAGCGGCACUACAUACCCAUGAAAAUAAAAGCAUUGCAGAAAAUCAGCUCCAUGCAGGGUUGAUACAAUGGGUGUGGAAAGGCGGUGCAGCGGUUAAGGACAUAAAUCUGAAGGUCCCCAGCUCAAGUCUUAGCAGAAGUUCUGCUGUUGUACCCUUACGUAAAGAGACUCAACUGUCACAGUAAAACAAUGCAGGGAUAUUUAGCAGACAGAUGAGCAUAGAGGCAUACAGACAAAUAAUAAUGAUCAAUACUUUAUUAAUCCCUGUGGGAAAAUCGUCAUUUUUACGCCUCCCUCAACUUGCUCUUUGUGGAGUAAGCUGUCUGUGAAAGGCAGCCAUUUGUUGGGGCACCUAGGGGUUAAGAGCCUUGCUCAAGGACCCGCAGACGUGCGGGGGCUGGGUUUGGACCGGCGACUUUGUGAUUACAGGUAUACAGGCUUAGCCCACAGAGCCACACGCUGCCCCUUAUCAUAAGACAGGCUUAUCAUAAAAGAAAAAAUAUAUAUAUUAUUGCUGGCAAAUGAAGAUUCUGACGAAAGGAAUAACUGACUUACAGGUAAACAUACAAAUGAAGGAGGAAGUUGACAGGAAUAUUUGGACAGUCUGUCUCCAUCCAUUGUUUUAUAAAGGACAGUUCCCAGUGUUUUUUCUGAUGUAAUUAUACCCAUUUUGUUUUCAUUUUCAUCUAUGCACCUUAACGGUUUACAUUCCAUGUGAGUGGAGUUUCAAGGAACAACCACUGACUUGCCUCGAUAUAUUCAUGCUUUUCUGUAUCAUGCCUAAAGCGGUUGUUUUAGAGUGGUAAGCACCCAGUGACGUGACAAGAUACUGUCACUUCACAAAAAGCCUCUUCUCCCUACAAACACACACACACACACACAAACACAUGCAUGCAUGAACGUAAACGCUGAUGGAAAAGCAUUUUGGUUCCAAAUACUGACAAGUAGUUCAACAGGUAAAACAUAUCCCCUGCAUUUUUCUGUUCACAGUGAAGCAUUUAUAAAUAAAAAUGGCUUAGAUCGA